rnacentral:rRNA from 1 species
ACUCCUACGGGAGGCAGCAGUGGGGAAUAUUGCACAAUGGGCGAAAGCCUGAUGCAGCGACGCCGCGUGAGGGAUGACGGCCUUCGGGUUGUAAACCUCUUUCAGUAGGGAAGAAGCGAAAGUGACGGUACCUGCAGAAGAAGCGCCGGCUAACUACGUGCCAGCAGCCGCGGUAAUACGUAGGGCGCAAGCGUUAUCCGGAAUUAUUGGGCGUAAAGAGCUCGUAGGCGGUUUGUCGCGUCUGCCGUGAAAGUCCGGGGCUCAACUCCGGAUCUGCGGUGGGUACGGGCAGACUAGAGUGAUGUAGGGGAGACUGGAAUUCCUGGUGUAGCGGUGAAAUGCGCAGAUAUCAGGAGGAACACCGAUGGCGAAGGCAGGUCUCUGGGCAUUAACUGACGCUGAGGAGCGAAAGCAUGGGGAGCGAACAGGAUUAGAUACCCUGGUAGUCCAUGCCGUAAACGUUGGGCACUAGGUGUGGGGGACAUUCCACGUUUUCCGCGCCGUAGCUAACGCAUUAAGUGCCCCGCCUGGGGAGUACG